CUUCCAUGACCUUUAACAGCAAUGAAAAAUGAGUAAGAUUAUUAUUAUUAUUAUUAUUAUUAUUAUUAUUAUUAUUAUAACUCACAACUACCAACAAAACAAACACAUCGGAGAAACGAUCUCCAUAAUCUAUUAAUGGUUUUUCAGAUAUACAUCUGCAGUCUGCAGCAUUCAUCUUCAUAUGUAAUUCAUUCGAUUUUCAUUUUUGACUUCUUACGUGUUGGAGCUUCAUCAGUCAAGCACGCAAGAACAAAAUCAAAGAAACGAGGAAAAAACAAUACAGAUAUAAUUAUCACUCCCAAACCUUCUUACUUUCCAAGAAAACAUACGAUUCAUAUGUAUACAAAACCGGAAAUAGGAUGGCAAAAUAUUUAACAAGAAUUUCCAAAUAAACAUUUUUGUCCCCUACUAAUUACUUUUUCUCUACUUCAAAUUUUCUAGUUGUAGGACUAAGUAAUUCCCAUUUAUUAGAGUUAUAUUCUUAAGUAAUAUUUUGUCCACUCUCUUACCGAUUUCAACAAGCUAAUAGCUCACUUAGUAAUAACAUUCACUAUCUCAAAUCAAAUUCAUUGAAUAAAUCUAUCCUCACUUAGUAAUAGUUAUAUUUUCUGCACUUUCAUCUUGCUUCUUAUCAUAUGCAUGUUGCAAAAAUUUCUGUUCAGUAAGAUGAGGAAACCUUGUAAACCAGUAAAAUAAGAUGUUGCAGGAAGACAGAAAGGAAGACUAAAAGGAACAAGUGCAGUGAUGAAGGUUGUACGUUCCCGAGGCCAGUUAAAUCAUGAUGAUCGUACCAAUCGUACAGAAUUUCUUGAGAGCCAAAACUUCAUCUCUGGGACAACUGUAUAGCCUCUUUGAGUGAUGUUAAACGGGCUGGGAAUUUAUUAGGAAAGCACUACUAUGAAAGUAACACCAAUCAU
rnacentral:lncRNA from 1 species